UAUGACUUCAUGAAUAUGUAUUAACUACACUUUGAUUUUCAAGGCAUACGAAUAUCUCUUUAUCUCGCAUCAUUGGGGAGAUAACCACAUUUUCCACACACUUGAGUCAUUUUAAUCAAUAAUUUAUUUACAGCACUACAGUGGUUUCAGCCUUUCCGUCCAAUCACACCCAGCGACAGCUCGGUAGGAGACCAUGUGAUCACCAGCGAGCAGCUACCGUUCGUCUGUCAGACCAUCGAGGUGACCACUGAGGACGAGGAGCAGACCGUAAGCUCCUCCCACUCGUACCCGCUGCAAAUCUCUCCUGUGUCCUCAUGCUGCGGCAGCGACACGGGCAAAG